rnacentral:misc_RNA from 1 species
UCCGGCUUAUCACCGGCGGUUUCUUUAGAGUGCCCAACUAAAUGAUGGCAACUAAGAGCAGGGGUUGCGCUCGUUGCGGCACUUAAGCCAACACCUCACGGCACGAGCUGACGACAGCCAUGCAGCACCUGUGCUAGCCCCUUACGGACACAAGCUUUCACCUGCUUUAACUAGCAUGUCAAACCCAGGUAAGGUUCUUCGCGUUGCAUCGAAUUAAGCCACAUGCUCCGCCGCUUGUGCGGGUCCCCGUCAAUUCCUUUGAGUUUUAGCCUUGCGGCCGUACUCCCCAGGCGGAGUGCUUAAUGCGUUAGCUGCGGCACAGAGAGGGUUGAAGACCUCCCCACACCUAGCACUCAACGUUUACGGCUGGGACUAC